rnacentral:misc_RNA from 1 species
AAGUCGUAACAAGGUUUCCGUAGGUGAACCUUCGGAAGGAUCAUUACCAUAACGCGGUCGCCCCGUGAUCCCCCCUUCUCCAAUUGCUGGGGGGUUAGGGCGGCCACACGCGUUCUUACCACCCUUGAUUUUGAGCACCUUCAUGUUUCCUCGGCAGGGACGCCUGCCAGCGAGGACCCCCAAAAAACCUUUUGCAGUUUGCAGUAUUUGUCUGAAAACAAACAUAAUAAUCAAAACUUUCAACAAUGGAUCUCUUGGUUCUG